UACGAAGGGGGCUAGCGUUGUUCGGAAUUACUGGGCGUAAAGCGCACGUAGGCGGGUCGUUAAGUCGGGGGUGAAAUCCCAGAGCUCAACUCUGGAACUGCCUUUGAUACUGGCGACCUUGAGGCCGGAAGAGGUUAGUGGAAUUCCCAGUGUAGAGGUGAAAUUCGUAGAUAUUGGGAAGAACACCAGUGGCGAAGGCGGCUAACUGGUCCGGAUCUGACGCUGAGGUGCGAAAGCGUGGGGAGCAAACAGG
rnacentral:rRNA from 1 species